UGAGGAUAUCCCACCAGGGACUCAAUGUGUAGAGGGAGAAGAGGCGUAUCAUGAGGAAUGUAUCAAACUCAAUAUUCCAAGAGGAAAGGAAGCACUCAAGACUUAUAGAGAUAUUUCCACACAGUCCAAUGUUUUGUGCAUGGCAAUACAUGUCAACUACAUACAUGGUCUAGCACAGGAAAACAGGGAACAAACUAAAAGGAAGAAGGAAAAGAGGGCUAUAAAAGCAAGGGAAUUGUUGAAAAACGCAACUGCACUCCGCAAUUCUAAUUCAGGGCAUCUAUUGAUUCACUUCGUGGGACGAGAAAA